CAGCAGCCACGGGAAUACGUAGGUGGCAAGCGCUGUCCGGAAUUAUUGGGCGUAAAGGGCUCGCAGGCGGUUUCUUAAGUCUGAUGUGAAAGCCCCCGGCUCAACCGGGGAGGGUCAUUGGAAACUGGGAAACUUGAGUGCAGAAGAGGAGAGUGGAAUUCCACGUGUAGCGGUGAAAUGCGUAGAGAUGUGGAGGAACACCAGUGGCGAAGGCGACUCUCUGGUCUGUAACUGACGCUGAGGAGCGAAAGCGUGGGGAGCGAACAGGAUUAGAUACCCCUGUAGUCCCUGUCUCUUAUAC
rnacentral:rRNA from 1 species